rnacentral:lncRNA from 1 species
CUAAGAGCAUACCAUUAACAGCCGUUAUAUUUCACUGGAGAAUGGCUCCACUCCACAAUGAGCACACACACACACACACACACACACACACACAGCAUGUUAUGCUACGCUUUCUGUCCACAUAUAUAAUUUAUUUUCUCUCUUCCAACAGAAAAAACUUUAAAAGGUGAGAUGGCUUAAAGAACUGCUCGUUAAACAGCCAACCAAUCAACAGAGUGCUAUUAAGACAAUCAACCAAUUGCUGUAUUGCUAAUUAAUUGCUGUAUUGCUAACCAAUUAACUAAAUGCUGAUUCACUUGUAAUCACAAAAAUUUACAUUAACGGAUUUGUUAUAUCAGAUCGCAAAUUAACUAAUUAACCAAGUAACCAAUUAAUUGCUGUUUAAUAACUAAUUAAUAAAUUGCUUCUGAAAUAAUUGAUCCAUCAGAGAUGAUCAGACAAGUAAAUGCUUGACCAAUAGCUUGGCCAAUUUUAGUUUUGCCAACCAAGCAGCCAACAAAUUGCUUUGCAAACAAAGAAACUGCUAUUGUGCCAAUUCAGCCAACAAUUUCUUAUCAGACAAUCAACCAAUUGCUGUUUUAUCUGCAAAUUGUUAUUUGAGCAACAACAUUGCUAUUGUGCCAACUCAAGUGAACAAUUUCAUGUUCAAGAAGUGACCAACUGUGAUUUGAUCUUAAGGACAUUUGCUAUUCAGACAACUACAAAAUAGGUACUGUGCCUUUCAUCUCAGCCAAUACUUGUUAGACAAGCAAUCAGUUGUAUUUUUAGCAACCAAUUGUUACUCAGGCAACAAUGAAAUUAUUUUGCUAACUCGCCCAACAAUUGCUUGUCAGAGAACUGACCAAUUGUACUACCAAUUGCUAUUCAAACAAUUGUGUAGUUGCUAUUUAGAGAACCAACGAAUUGCUAUUCUGUAAAUUCUUAAGUUGCUAUUCAAACAAUUGUUAAGCUGCUAUUUAGAGAACCAACCAAUUGCUCUUCAGUAAGUUAAUAUUCAGAUGACAAACUAAUUACUGCUUUGAAAACAGAAUGCUGUUGUACCAGCCCACAAACCAAUUGACUACUUAGCCAAAAUAACUAACAAAUAUCUAUUAAUCCUACAACAACCAAUUGUCAUUUUUUGCCAAUUUGCAAAUCUUCCAAUCAACCAUGUUUCGAAUGCUACAGAAUCAAAGCAAUGGAAGCAAGCAAACGAAUCCAUCGGACAUAAUCAUAAACAACUGGCAUCUGGAUGAAUGGACUCUGCGUAUGAAGAGCAACUUCAAGGGAGAGAAAUGGGCAUGCUUUGCAUUGAUUGGUGUUUUAUGCUGUGACGUUUUUCUUGUGCUGAGUUUGCUGGCGUACAAGGAGGUGUUUACAGGCAAAGUCCGCAUCCCGAUGAUGAUCGCUUGCAUCUUGCUGACGUGCAGUGGGGUCGUUUACCUCAUCAUUUCGUUUUUCAUCUACCAACGGAAGAAGAAGGAAACACACAGGAUACAGUAUGAGAAUACUAAGGAAUAUAUGACAACGCAACUGUCCUUGGAACGGAAAAUCGAGAACAGGAAUAUAUACGAAGAAAGCAAUCAGCAAAUCGUUGCCGAAGAAAUAAAACCAGGUGUGAUUCUGGGUAAAGUCAUCAAUAAGGACAAACCAUUCAAAAACCUAAAGAUGAAUUUCACAGAAACUGUUUGAAGAAGAAUUAUUUUGAAGAAGAUUUAUUUUGAAGAAUUAUUUUGAAGAAAAAUUAUUUUGAAGAAGAAUUAUUUUGAAGAAGAUUUAUUUUGAAGAAUUAUUUUGAAGAAAAAU